rnacentral:lncRNA from 1 species
GUAGAGCGGCCCCUUCCUAUAUGAUGCUGGAGAAGGCAUCCUGAUGACCCUGUGACAUCUGUCCACCUCGGUGCUCAAGACCCGAGCGCAAUGUCCCAGACCCAGGACUAUGAAUGUAGAAGCCAUCAUGUUGACGGGCAGGAGUCCAGGAUCCCAGGAUCCAGCACCAGGUAAGGAAGCGCUGUGUACACCUGAGCAUUCCUGGCCUCAGGUGAGUGGGAAGGAAGGGUUCUUGGGGAGGUGGGUGCAGGACUCCAGGGGGGUCAUGCUCAUUCUCCGGGUCCUGAGCACCUGCACAGCUCCUCACAAGGCUUUGCCAUGGCUGACCUGUGCCUGCCUGUGGGAGUCCUGCUUUAUCCACCACAGCCUCUCACUGCUGCCUUGUCCACUACAGAGGCCACAUGCCCCACGUGGGAGCCCCUGUGCUCAGCAUGGUUCCCCAGGCCUUUCUGUAGGCAUUGGUCCACAUAGACGCAAUAGCCUUAGUACAUUAUUUUCAUUUUCCUAAUUUUCAGCUUUUUAUUAGGAAAUAUUGCACGCUUACCGAAAAGUUACAAGAAUAAGAACAAUCUGGGGAACACUCAUGUGCCCUGGCCCCACAUCACCUGCUCUUAGUAUUAAUUGCUCAAUCCCUUUUUCUGAGUCAUUCUGGAGCAGGUCCAUUUCUUAGGCCCCUGGCCCUUGAGUGUGUGUCCCCUAGAUAACCUGCCCUUGAGCCAGGACCCUUGCCAGGAUGAGCAGAUGUGCUGUUGACACACGGUCUGAUUUCCCCUGCUGUCAGCCCUGUGCCAGCCGAUUCUCUCUGUCCGUGGCAGCACUCCCUGACCCUGUGCAGUGCAGGGUUCCUUGAUGGAUUUUCUUCUGGCUUCUGUGUCUUUAGACUUUUCUGACCUGCAUGAUUUCUACAGCCUCUCCCUGUCUUUUGUGACCCAAACCCUUUUAAACAUGAUUGUCAUCCAUUCUUAAAUAGAACAUUCAAUAAGAGAGGUAGGGUUACAAAUUAAUCUAUAAGGUAUACUCAGCAGGACCUCAUUUACCUACUUGGUUUCUGUUUGUAAGAACUGUUGGUGAGGCUAGGGUUGUAGCUCAGUGGUUGCACUCACCUAGCAUGUGCGAGGCCCUGGGUUCAAUCUUCAGCACCAUAUAAAAGUAAGUAAAUAAAAUAAAGUCAUUGUGUCCAACUAUACUUACAAAAUGAUAAAUAUUAAAAAAAAAAAAAAAAAAAAAAAAGAAGAAGAAGAAAAAGAAGAGCUACUGUUGGUGUGGUUUCCAACUUUCCCCUCAUUCCUAUACAAAUGCAGUCCCAGCAUUUGUCUAAGAGAGGCUGAGGUAGGAGGAUCACAAGUUCAAGGCCAGCUUCAGCGAGUUAGCAAGACCCUGUCUCAAUAAAAAAAUAAAAAGUGGUAUGGAUGUCAGUGGAUAAGCGCUUCUGGGUUCAAUCCAAUCCCAAGUACCAAAAAAAAAAAAAAAAAAAAAGUCUCUGUGCUCCCCACGCAGUCCCUAGCAACUUCCUGUAAGUCAUUGCCUCUCACCAUCACAACUGUCCUCCAUUACUGCAGCUUCCCAGGCCAGUGUUGUGUGUUUCCCAGAAUCUGUUCCGCUGGGCCUGUGCAGUCACAUGCGCUGCUGCAGAAGCAGCCUGUUCCUGUGUAGCAUUGCUCCUUUUGGAGAUGGAUCUUCUGGUGAACUUCUGACGAGGAACACCUGUGAAGUAUGGUGCUGCCACGGCCCACAUAGGGCCUGUGCACUGCACCUGCCAGUCCACCAUGCCUCCCACAGGCAGCUCUGCUGGGGCCUCUGCUGGUAGCAUCUCAUGACUGACGAGGCCGGCAGAGAGGUACUGUGUAUCACGCUUCACCCUGUGCCAUACUCUUUUUCUCCUUUUCCUGUGGAGUUUUUAUUUGUCUGUGCUCUGUUCUGUAUACCAAGGAUUUGAGCCCUUUAUAAUUCAUAUUACAUAUGCCCCACUAAUUUGUCCAAAAAGCAGAAUCUUUUCUGCUUUACUCAUGGCAUUUUUUUCUUGUGUAGUUCUUAUGCAGCUGAACGGGCCAGAUUCAUCUUCCAGCGUGUCUGGAGUUUUAGUCCCCUCCAUCCCGACAUUGGGUUACGGUAUGUUUGGUGGUGGUGCUGGCAGUUCUGUUUGGGGGGGGUGGUCCUGGGGUUGAACCUAGGGCCCUGUGGUCCAAGGAGGCAUGUACUCCACACUGAGCUGCCCUGACCCCAGAGUUCCAUUUUUGCCCUUAUGUCUUAGAUCCAUUUGGGUUUAACCUUGAGUGAGGUGUGGACCCGGCUCUUUGUUUUCCAAACUGCUGCAGCUAUCCCAGCAUCAUGAUUAAAGACUGCCUUUCCUUGACCUGAGACCUCCACAUCCUCUGACCACUUCCUGGGUGUCUUUGAGGAGCUGGGGCUGCUUAAGCUCCUGUGUGACUCUGUUGACCUCUGUCAUGUGCAGGCUUCACUACCUGAUGGAGGCAGUUCCCGAUAGCACAGUGGGGUCUGGCACAGUUCCUCAGUGAGCUGGUCUUCCUGUGUAGUGCCCCACAUUCCCCUUAUGCUGCAGAGGGCCAGGCAGGUCAGCAGUGGCUGAUGGUGUUUUGGCUAUUUUUCCUUUUGUGUGUUUGUGCUGGGGAUGGAACUGAGAGCGUCACACACACUAAGCCUGCCUUCUAUCACAGAGCCACACCCACCCCCAAGCGUGGUGUGUCUCUUUAUCAUUGUAUUGCAAAAGUUCUUCUUUGUUGUGUUGUUUGUUUAUUUUGGUACUGGUGCUCAAACCCAGGAGAGCUCUACUACUGAGCCACAUCCCUAGCUCUUUUGAUUUUUUUUCAUUUCAGGGCCUCACUGAUUUGCUGAGGCUGGUCUUGAAUUUGCAAUCCUCCUCAGCCUCCUGAGUUGCUGGGACUACAGGUGUGCACCACCAGGCCUGGCUGCACAUGUGAUUUCAAUGCUUUGGAUCUGAGUCCUUGUCACAGAUACCGUCUGUAGCGCGUGUGCACUCCUGGUGCAUGGCUGUAUUCAUGUGGUGGUGGUGGUGGUCUGUGCUGGAGGCUCAUCUCUGUUGAGUUCAGUACCUCUGCUGCUUCUCUUGCUGCUCAUGUUUUGGGUGUCGUCGUCUAAUCCAGUACCAGCCCCAAGGUCAUGAAAAUGUACCCUCUUGUAAGCUUUAUGAUUUUAGCUAUUCUGUUGCAUCCUUGACCCAGUCUUCACUCUUUUGUGUGUGGCCUAAAGUGGGGUUACCUUCGCUUUCCUGCAGGGGUGUCUGCCUGUCCCAGCACUGUUGCUGAGACUCUCCUUUCCCCUGUCAAGGGGUCUUGACACUGCAUUGUUGGAGUCUGGGGAGCAGGGAAUGUGCCUGUCUCACCUGGUAAAUUUUGCCUGAUAUGUAUUUGGCGUUCACUGAAGUCAUUCUGGAAACAUUUGUCUAGACAGAUCAUUGUCUGAAAGUAGACAUCUCCAGAACAGGAGCAUUGUGAAGGGUCCUUUUGCAUCAGCACCCAAGGGAUUGCUGGAGAGGACCUGUUUCCUGCUGUCCUGUAGGGGCCUUUGUUUCUGCUGUCCUGUAGGACCCAGGGAUUGCUGCUUCUCUUACCCUUCCACCUUCCUUACCAGAUGAUUUUUUCCCUGUGCAGUUCAUCAUAAAUAUUCUUCUCACCAAAUAAGUCUUCUCAAACACUGCUCAGAUUAGGGCAGCAGGAGACUACCAAACUUCAGCCAUUUCCCACUUACAGGGUCCAGUCCCCACUGGUGGUGAAGCCCCGAAACUCCUUGGGCAGUUCCACAGCUGCCAGUUACGCUCUCCUCACCUGCUUAGUUUGGCACAGUUUAUCUGUCACCACCUACUGACAAAGCUCUUUCUCUGUGCAGUCCCCUUGACCUGGGGGACUGGCAGCCCCCACUGACCCGAUGCUCAACUGGACCAGACUACAGCCCCAGGACAGGAUGCGUGUUCUUCAAUCCAUAGUGCUGAUACCCCCCUUGCCCAUGAGGAGAGAUGAGCAAUCCCAGACCACAACCUGCACAUGCCACAACCACCAGCUGUGUCCCGCCCUAUCCUUAAGGUCCAGCUCCAGCCAGAGUUCCUGGAGCCUCCCCAGACUUGGUACCCCUCUGAGUUCUGAAGUCCCUUGCCUUGGAUGUCUGUGGGUCCUGCCCAUACCUGUCUGGGCAGUGACUCCCUGGGGCCCAGUGUUCUCUACACUUUUGCCUGCCUCUGUUUUCUCAGGAUCCUGGCUGAAUGCCAUCCCCAGGAGAUACCAAGAAUGUGCCUUUGAAAAGCCGGCUCUUGCCACUUGUGCAAGGAAUGCACUAAAAAGGGAACAAAACCUGUUCUCUGUCAAGUCAUGGUUAGUGCAUUAUAUUCACGUUUUAAAGAAAAAUAAGAAUUGUUAUUGCUGCUUUUAAGACUCAGAAUGUCAGUAGUGUGCUUUGAAAGCUUCUCUGUAUUCAGAUUCUCUGGGGAGUAUCCCAACUUUGUUCUGAUAAAAUCUACCACUGGCUAGGAGAGAAAGUGAGAGUAGCAGCCUCAAGGAGUGAAGUGGGACCAUGUGGGCAGCCCCUGCCAGCAUCCCAGGGCCAAGGGACACUGAGCCCAGGCAGUGGCAUUGAAUCUUAUCACAUUCACCCUUGAUCUGUCAUUGGUGUGCUCCCCAAGUUCUGGCCCCAGACCCUACACAGUGCUGCCAAAACCCUUGCCUCGCCUUCCCCGCCCCCUCCUCUGUCACCUUCUUUCCUGGAAAUGCUCCACCCAUCUAUCUGGAAGCUUCCGCCUUGCUCCCUUCAAACUAGCCAGGAGAACCUGGUCACCAAGUCUGGUCGGGCAGCAAGAACCUGGUCCUUCGAGUCUCUGCCGCAGGCACCCCAGCCUCCACCACGUCUGUCUUUACAUCACUGUCAGUGAAUCUGUCUUCUUGGAAGCCCCAGCAGACCUGCUGGGUGUUCUUUGGUCACAAUUGUCACUGCCCACCUGGGUCUGCGCUGACAGAGACAGGAUUCGACUAUCUUCCAGGAUGCAGCGUCUGCAGGGGAGGCUUGAGACCAUAUGCCUCUGGCCACAGCUGCAGCAGGGCUGUGGUCAUGGCAGCCCAUGGAUAUCCCUGGAAAUGAAGGGACCCCUUCAGUGUACCCUGAGACUCUACACAAUGAUCACUUCUGCCUCAGUCAUUGGCAGAAGUUGGCCUUAUGGUUGCUAGUGGACAGAAACUCAAAGACCUACAAAGGCAACUAAAGGCCACUCAAAUUACUGUGAUGGUCACAGGAGAUGGCCAAUCCCCAUGCACUUUUGGUUGCAUUAUUUAUUUAUUUUUGGUACCAGGGAUUGAAUUCAAAGGCAGUUGGUCACUGAGCCACAUCCCCAGCCCUAUUUUGUAUUUUAUUAGAGGCAGGGUCUCACUGAGUUGCUUAGUACCUCACUUGGUGGCAUCUUUUGCCAUUGACCUGUCUUCACAGCCAGGAAGCUCUCUCCCAGCCCACAUUGCUCUGCGUUCUGCAGUAUGGCCAGUGAGAAAGGCCCACAGUUGCCUCCCUGUGCAGCCAGGGGGCUGAAGGGUUAGCACUCAGUGUAUGGGUCAGGACCCUGGGAGUGGUGGCACUCAUGUUGGGUGAAUGUGCUGCAAAUUCAGUCAGCGGCCAGGUAACCAGAAGCAGGGGCCAGUCUCUAAGGCAAGAGUGACACAUGUGUGCCUUGCAUAUGUGGAGCUUCAGUGUGUUUUGGCUUCUGAGGGGUCAUGCUCCUCUGCCUGCCACGCAUCUCUCUCAGCCUCCCGAGUCUUUUGGAGGAGCGGGCUUGACAGCCCUACCCCUCAGGCAUCUGGAUGCACCUGGGUCCUUAAAUCUCCCUCAGAGGCAUCAGCAGGUCUGAGUUCAUCUUGGAUGUCUCCACCGUUGGCCACAGGGGAGGACACAGCUUUAGGACUGCAAAGCCACAGUCCCAGCCCUCACAUGAGCGUGUGCAUGCCAUCCUGGCCCUAUGCUCUGGCUGCUCCCAGGGUCCUCCCUGCCUCUGGUGCACAGGAGCCCUGUGGGCUGUCCUGGCUCCUGAGUUCCACCUGACCUGGGGCGGUACAGGUGCUUCAGGUGCCUGUCAGAAGAGGAGGGGUCUUCCUGGGAGGCUCCCACAGCCGUGCUCCUUGUCUCUGUCCCAACAGCAAGGGGACACAGCCCAUGUAGCCCCUACCCUAGGUACGAAAUGAGGCAGACUGUCCUCGAUGUGUAAUCUGCAGGAUGUAAAAUUAACAUUUUAAAGUAUGGACAUUGCUUGCUUUUUAAAAAUUAUCCUUUUAUUUGAAGAAUGUUAGGUUGAGUGGCAUUUGCCAAUGUAGUGCUAGGGGCAUUUUAAAAUUUUUAUCUCUUUUUAGUUGCAGAUGGACACAAUACCUUUAUUUUGUUUGUUUAUUUAUUUAUUUAUUUGUUUUUAAAUAUUUAUUUUUUAGUUAUAGGUGGACACAAUAUCUUUGUUUUUUAUUUUUUUAUUUUUAUGUGGUGUUGAGGAUUGAACCCAGUGCCUCACGCGUACUGGGCGAGUGCUCUACCUCUGAGCCACAACCCCAGCCCCUGUUUGUUUAUUUUUAUAUGGUGCUGAGGAUCAAACCCAAUGCCUCACACAUGCUUGGUUAGCACUCUACCACUGAUCCAUAACCCCAGCCCCGCCAGGGGCCUUUUGGCCCCCUGCACCAGCUCUGAUGGCUGUGACUUUGUGGGUGUGUGGCAGACUCCUAGCCCACACUGGUCUGUCGUCCUCAGCUGAAAUCUGCGCCUCUAUUCAGUAUUCCUUCCUAGUUCUCACCUAAAGUCCCUCCUGUCUUCAGAUCCCAUCUGGCAUGUGUUCACCGUGUCUCCUUGAUCUCCACUGGACUGAGAGGGUUCAUUAGGCCUUCCUGGGUUUUGUUUUUGUUUUAAUACUGUGGAUUGAACCCAGGAGCUCUCUACCACUGAGCUACACCCCCAGCCCUUUUUAUUUUUUUUCUUUUGACACAGAGUCCCACUAAGUUGCUGAGGCUAGCCUCCAACGUGAGAUCCUCUUGCUUCAGCUUCCCAAGUCGCUGGGAUUACGGGGUGGGCUACUGUGCCCGGGUAGACUUUCCCAGUGUUUCAUGACUUUGACAGUUUUGAGGAGGACUGUCCAGGUAUUUUGCAGAAUGUCCCUCCGUUUGAAUUUGUCUGAUGUUUUUCUUGGGGAGGAUGGCCCCACUGUGUCAAGAGCUCAGUUGUCAACAGGCUUGUCACCGUUGACACCAGUGUUGAUGUGCUGGUGAGGUUGUGCUGUCCGAGGUCCUCUGAAAGGCUCCUUCGCCUCUCUGUCAUGCUCCUCAGAGGAAGCCCACAACUCGGGUGGGGACUGUGUGUGGGCUCCCUGAGGGGAGGACGGGCCUCCCCUCCUCCUGCAAGUUACUGGGACUUCUCUGGGGAGUUGUCUGCCUCCAUCUGAACACUGACACUGAUCCAACUCUUGCAUCCCGUGAACUGUCCUGUGUCCUGGCUCUGAUCACUGGGGCUCCUGUGACCUGGGACGUACCCCUUCUUUGGGGUCAAGGCCCCUUUGUAUUCCCUGCCCCGGGCCUGGAAUUUGCCACUUCUCUGAGGAGCCCUGCCCUGGGUGAGAGAAACCUGGACUCUGGGCUGUGGUCCAGUCUCCUUGCUCAAGCCUCUGCUGCCUAAAGCCAUCUGUUCCCUUGACUGUGCCCCUCAGAGGCUUGCAGAGUUGAGUGUGCAUCCAAAAGCGCCUGGCAGAGCAGCCUGGUUUUCAUCUCAGUGAGGUGUGAGCAUUCCUAGGGGCUAACCUGCUCUUUGCUGAGAGUGGCAGUGGAUUCUCCUCAGGGGAUAUAGCUAGGCUUGGGUGUCGCCACCAACCUGAGUGCCAUCCUUGCUGGCUGGUGUUUUCACCCUGGAUGGGGUUCACCGGUGGGCUUCCAGGCACUUGUGCUCUGCCCCACCUGGCCUUGCAGCCACGCAGGCCUCCUGUGGCUCCUCCACCCCUGUCCACGCAGGCCCUCCUCUUGGCUGCUAGGGAAGGGUCAGGGCUGCCGAUGUGGGAAGGUGAGGUUUCUUCUUCUGUCCUAUGGUCAAUUUUGUGGACUGGUCCUGCCAGCUGGGACCUGCCACCAUCAUUGUCAGCUUUGUUUGCUCAUGAACCUCACAGGGAGCCCCACCUCAUGCCGUGCCCAGUUCCUCAGAUCGUGCAUUGUGGGCUGAUGUGCUGGGUAUGGGCGCCUGGAUGGCCCCUGCUUGUCCCAGGUGUUCUGCUGCUGUGAGCAUGAGUGCCAUGUCUGCGGGUUUCUGCCAGGGCUUCAGCUUAAGGAGCAGGGCCAUCUGUGCCUAUUCACCUUCACAUGGAGCACAGAGCCCCAGGUCUGUGCUGUGGGCAUUUGGGCCUCUUUGGUGGGGCCAUCCUUGUGUUUACAGUGCCCUUCUGUAUGAUUCUGCAUUUUCCUGAGUUCUCUCAUUCCCUGAUGGUGAUGAGUGCCUUCUACCAUAAUGUGCAUGCAGUAUUUGGUGCUACUUUGCUGUUUGGGGAAGUUGCUAAGUUGCUGGGGUUUUGUUAAGUUACCCAGGCUGGCCUUAAGCUUACAAUCCUGACCCAGCCUCCUGGGUCACUGGGAUUAGAAGCAUGUGCCAUUGCUCCAGUCCGCCUGGCUUUUGGUCAUCUUCACCUUCUGCAUGCUUGGCUAGGAUUUUUAUUGGAUUUCAAUCCUUAUAAAGGUGAGCAGAGGUGUCAGCCACUGUGGUCUUUCUAGGGGACCCUGUCAGGAAUGAUGUGUGCCAUCCUCGGGGUAGACUCUUUCCCUGGUUCUUUCCAUGGGUUUUAUCUGGGCCCCUUCCUGUGGCAGGCUCCGAGUCUUCCUCCAGCCUGCAGGUCAGUGCUGUGCUGGGCUUCUGGAGUGAGCUCAGUGUGAGGGAGUUUGUGUCACUGGGGCAUCCAUGGCAUCCGUGUCAAUGACAGUUUUGUGGCCACUACUCUCUGUUGAUGGAGCAAUGCUUGUGGCCUAGAAAACCCCUGCCCCUGUGCCCUAGGGUGAGGGUCCCCAUAGCCACAAGUCUGUAAGGAAAGCUCUGAGAUGACCCUGAGCUUGGUUAUUGAGGUGGGGCUGGGUUAUUGAGGUGGCGCUCUGAGUUUCUAGGGAGAGCUCCAUCUCCCAAGUUGUGGCUGAAAGACAUGCAUGGUGCCCUGCAGGGGGGCCAGGACCUUGGGGAGGCAGGGGUGGUUCGAGCAGUGGGCAGGGCCAGUGUGAGUUUUCAGCAGUGUGUGAGCCAUUAUGCAGGCUGGAGGGGUGGGAGGAAGGAAGACCCAUCGUGGUCACAUUUGGGUGCCAGGUUUGAUCUGGUCACAAUCUCAAGGGCAUGGCUGUGCUGUACGGUGCAGGCUUCAGGAAGAGGGGCACCCACCCACCCUUCUUCCGAACACACUGACUGUGGCCAUUUUUCUUUAUUUGUGUGAUACUUGGAUCUUUUUUCCUGGGUAAAGUGGGCUGUGUAGGGGCCCAAGAGAAUGCAGAUUUAAGACUUGAGGUGUGUCCUGGGAGAGGCACAGCCAGCAACGUCCUUGGGCUGGUGCCACUUGAAGCCCCAGCCUUCCCUCCACACAGUGCUAAGCUGCAGAGGGAAGAAGAGAAGGUGGGUCCCUUUUCCAGCUAUGGGAGGUCUCACAUUUGUGUUGCAAGAUGAGGGGAAGGUUUCCGGGGAGGAUCACUGGAACAGGUGGGCACAGGACCACACAGAGCAGCACAGCUGCAGUGUGACUUUAGAGGGAGUAGGAUCAUUCAGACUGGUUGUGUGGAGCCAGGUGCUGGGAUACCCAACCUCACCCUGGGUGCCAUGGCAUGCUGAGUGCUCCAUGGAGUUGUUCACUGGCUGUGGAUGCAGAGAAGGAAGGGAGCCAGGGAGCUGUGGUGCUGGCCAGAAGUGGUGAGAGUCUCUGCUGUGCUGUGAGUGGGGGUGGAGGUGUACAGAGAGGUGCAGAUUGAGGGACUAAACCACAGAACCAGGCAAGGCCCAGAGACAGACCGCCGGCACAGAGCAUCUGAGGCUGGAACAAGCACCAGCAGCUGGCCAGUGCCAAUGGAGUAUGCUGAUGCCUGUCAGUGCUCGCGCCCUAGACCUAGCCCACAAACGAGAGGGACCUGGGGAUGACCAGUGCUCCCUGCACCAGUCAGUAGGCUGAGGGAAGAUCCCACACAGGUACCCAAGGUUGUGAAUGGAAUUCAAGGACCAAUUCUAAGAUUCAUAAAGAGAGAAGUGUUAUGAAUAGCCAAGGGCUGGGUGUGAUGGUGACCCCUGUGAUCCCAGAGACUUGGGAGGAUAGGGCAGGAGGAUACAAAUUCAAGGCCAUCGAGGGCGAUUUAACGAGAUCCUUUCUUAACAUGAAAAGGGAUGGAGGAUUUAGCUCAGUGAUCAAGCACCCUGGGGUUCAAGCAGUACCACAGACAUAAUUUUUUUUAAAUAUUUUUUUNNNNNNNNNNNNNNNNNNNNNNNNNNNNNNNNNNNNNNNNNNNNNNNNNNNNNNNNNNNNNNNNNNNNNNNNNNNNNNNNNNNNNNNNNNNNNNNNNNNNNNNNNNNNNNNNNNNNNNNNNNNNNNNNNNNNNNNNNNNNNNNNNNNNNNNNNNNNNNNNNNNNNNNNNNNNNNNNNNNNNNNNNNNNNNNNNNNNNNNNNNNNNNNNNNNNNNNNNNNNNNNNNNNNNNNNNNNNNNNNNNNNNNNNNNNNNNNNNNNNNNNNNNNNNNNNNNNNNNNNNNNNNNNNNNNNNNNNNNNNNNNNNNNNNNNNNNNNNNNNNNNNNNNNNNNNNNNNNNNNNNNNNNNNNNNNNNNNNNNNNNNNNNNNNNNNNNNNNNNNNNNNNNNNNNNNNNNNNNNNNNNNNNNNNNNNNNNNNNNNNNNNNNNNNNNNNNNNNNNNNNNNNNNNNNNNNNNNNNNNNNNNNNNNNNNNNNNNNNNNNNNNNNNNNNNNNNNNNNNNNNNNNNNNNNNNNNNNNNNNNNNNNNNNNNNNNNNNNNNNNNNNNNNNNNNNNNNNNNNNNNNNNNNNNNNNNNNNNNNNNNNNNNNNNNNNNNNNNNNNNNNNNNNNNNNNNNNNNNNNNNNNNNNNNNNNNNNNNNNNNNNNNNNNAAGAGACAGCCUGGUGCCUUCCUCAGUAUCAAAACAAAACAGAUUCAGGGCUGCUGCCUGAGGCUUGGACAGGCAGCAGUGACAGCUAUGCACCUUUCUGCCCCCCAGUUAAGUUCUUUGCUUCUUCCCAUGUGGCAUCAGGGCUUAUAGGUGCAGGAUCCACCUGCAGCAGCAUUACUUCCCAGGAAGGCAGAUGCAAAUGCAGACAUUUGUCUGUUUUCUGAGCAGCCCUAUCCCUGGACUGGUUCCACAGUCAUUGGAGAAAGACCAUGGAUGUGAUGAAGGUCCCCUUACUCUGGGCCACCAUAGGGUCAGUGAGUGAGGGAUGAUGGAGGAACCAGCCAGGCAGAGGCAGUGUCCCCACAGAGAGGCAUUCCAAGGCUGUAGAGGGUUAUUCUUUCCAUGUAGAAACUUGGAAGCAGCUUAAAAAUGCCAGAUGUCACCCAAGCACACCCUGACUUCAAACACACCUGUUUUCAAAUGGUCUUGUCUGAUGCUUUAAUUUCCAUUAUUCACAGGUUAUCUUUUUAAUUAGAAAAAAACAUUAUAAGGCUGGAGGCUGAGCUCCCCAGUAGAAAGCCCCCACCCACCCCACCCCACUGUGUAGAAGUGGUGGUGUUCCUGCUCAGCGAAAGGUCACCUGGGACUGGUGGGCUUGGGAUGGCUUUGAGAGUGGGGUCCUCACUCUCACCCGUGUCCCCACAGGCUGGAGUGGGUGGAGAUCAUCGAGCCACGUACCCGGGAGCGCAUGUAUGCCAACCUGGUUACCGGCGAGUGCGUGUGGGACCCUCCGGCCGGAGUACGCAUCAAACGCACCAGCGAGGACCAGUGGUGGGAGCUCUUUGACCCCAACACAUCGCGCUUCUACUACUACAGUGCCGCCUCGCAGCGCACUGUGUGGCACCGCCCGCAGAACUGCGACAUCAUCCCGCUGGCCAAGCUGCAGACGCUGAAGCAGAACACAGAGUCCCCUCGUGCCUCGGCUGAUAGCAGUCCUGGCCGUGGCAGCCGCGAUGGCAGCACUGGCUCCUCACUGGAGCCCGAGCUUGAAGCCACGGAGAGGGCACAGGAACUGCCCACAAGGGCAGGGAGGCCCGCAGCACUGGGGACCCCAAAGGAGGAGAGUGGCAGGUGAGGAGGGUCGGGGCUGGCCGGCGCUGGGUGGUCCCCCUGGGAGGGGGUGGCGUGGGGCCUGAAUGUGGCUGCCUGGCCGCAGCUCCUGCCUCCUGGCUCUCCACUUGUGAACGGUAAUGAGGGCUUGGGGUUUCUGGCGGGUGAGGGGAUGGCUGUGACCCAGCUGAUGCACAUUCUGGCUCCUUCCUCCCCAUUUUGCUCAGGACCUGCUCUUUGUUGACACUGUCCUUAGUCACCUGGAUUCCUAGAUCCAGGAGCUCAUUAGAGAAACAGAACCUGCUAGGCCCAGAAAUCCUGGUGAGCUGUCAGGAGGGCCCUCCAGUGGGUAUUUUCCUGGCUAAUAGAGUCAUGACUUUGGUACUUGACUUCUGUUUGUUGGAGGGUUGCCCUUCCUUGGCAUAGCCUGGGGACUGAUUCUCCUGAAUCCCCCAGGAGGGGGCUGCUGCUGUUAUUCUCAUUGUACAAGUGAAGAAACAGGUAGCUCAGGUGCAGGACCUUACUUGCAUUGUCAGGCAGAUUGAUCUGCAGUGGGAGCCUGUGGUCAGGGUCCCCCAGCUACAGAGGCCACCAGGUGUGUGUCUGCUUGGUCACAGACAUUUUUGUUUUAUGCCUCAUCGGGAGCAGUUUCUUGUGUUGUGCAUCCAGCCGCUGGCCUUUUCUUCUUCGGGGCUGACCCUCCGUCAGUCCCUUUCAGGUGUGAUGUUCAUGUAUAGAGUUUGGAUUUUGUUUUGCAUGUUCCAUGCCUCUGCACGAUGUGCUGGGUCUGCUUCUCACUCUGAACACAGGGAGCACAUGGAACCAGCUCUUGCUGCCCUUCACCGCGGACUCCCCUGUCCUUGUCAUUCUGGCUCAGCUUAUCCCUGGUUGGUUGUUGUGAGCAGGAACAGGGUCCCUGAGGGUAAACACAGCAGAUGAGAGGGUGAGCAGCCCCAGCAGGGCAUAUGGCAUCCUAAGGGAACAGCAGGGUGAUGAGACUGCUGUUCUUCAUAGACAGAGGUGCUGCCAGACUUGGACCUGGAUUGCACAUACACGAUUUUAAUUGAGCAUAUUUGUCACUUGGCAUUUACCAGAUCCUGUUAGAUUGUUCUCCUGGUGUGUGUCUUUUAUCAGGCAGUGCCUUGCAGGUUGGUCACACCUGACUGAAGGUUAGGCAGAAGCUCCUCAACUGCAGUCAAGUAGGUCUUGAAACAGAAGUUUCCGUUAUGCUUGCACAUGCAUCAGAGUCAGAAAGAUUCUGCUGGGACUAUAGCUUCAGCUUGGAAAACACCUGCUACACAUGCGUGUGGGAAUGGGUCAUGCCUCUGGUAAUGUUCACAGGGUGGUAUGUGGAUAAAGCAGCUCAACGUUGCUUGUGACUGAGACAUUAGUUGUCUUUGCAGUGACUGCUGUAGUGUGUUUCACAGGCUGUCACCAUUUGCCUUGUGAUUUUAGGCUGAAUUCAUUAAGAAACGUUACCAAGAGUCUGCAACAAAAACUAAUCUCCAAAGCCACUCACAGUGUUUAAUAGUGAUCAAAAGAAGUUUUUCACAUUCAGAAAAUUUGACUCAACCCUGAGUUUUUAAAAAAAAAAAUCAUAAUAAAAUAUGUGGCUCCCUGGCUGCUGGGUUGCUGUGUGACAGGAUGUUCAGCUGCUGUCUUUGACCAAAAUAUCCAUGGUACUUAUGAUGGCCAAGUCCAGGGGAUUGGCUUAUGAUGGAUUCAAGUGUUUUCUGCAAAGUACCUACGAAUGGACAGCAAGUAACCCUAGGCUUAUGUUAUCACAAGCUUUGUAAGUGGCCAGCCAAGCCUUUGCCUGGGCCACAUAUGCUCCCAGCACAAUAAUUUGUGACUCCACUUAAUCUCCAGGUGUGCCAAAUUAAUGUUUUCUCAGGUAAUUUUAAGACAGGACCUCCUGAAGUUUCCCAGGCUGGCCUCAAACUUGUGAUCAAUCCUCCUGCCUCAACCUCCCAUUGUCACUGGGACACCACCACACCUGACAUCCCCAGCCCUUUUUAUCUUUUUAUAUUUAUUUAUUUAUUUAUUUUCGUGCCAGGGAUCGAACUCUAGGGCACUCGACCACUGAACCACAUCCUCAGCCCUAUUUUAUAUUUUAUUCAGAGACAGGGUCUCACUGAGUUGCUUAGCGCCUCACUUUUGCUGAGGCUGGCUUUGAAUUUGUGAUCCUCCUGCCUCAGCCUCCCAAGCUGCUGGGAUUACAGGCGUGCGCCACCACAUCUGGCCCUUUUUAUUUUUUAUUGAAGACAGUGUUUUGCUAACUUGCCCAGGCUGGCCUUGAACUUGCGAUCCUGCUGCCUGUGCUGCCUGAUUGGUUGGUAUCAUAGGUGGCAUCAAGGGUUCUUUGAUUAUUUAAUUAUUAAUAUAUAUUAGUUUGAUCAUAUGCCUUAUGAAUAUCUGUCAAGAUAAAUGCUCACUCUGUCACCUGCUUCUUAGAUCUCUAUUGAGUGUGCCAAGCUUGGCACUCAGGCACACACAGCCCCAUGAGGGUCUUUCUAGCUACGCUUCUUCCUUAGGCCAUCCCAUCAGUACUGGUUGAAGCUGUGACUCUCACUGACCCAUCUCUGGAUCCUGAGAGCAGCAGCUCCCAUCCCAGUGGUUCAGGUUCCUGAAACACUAGACAAGGCUGGUUUCCUGUCCUGGCAUGUGGCCUUUGGAUGGGUCACCAUGGGCUGACCCUGUGGGAGGAGGCAGGUGCAGGGCAGAAGAAAUACCCAACAGCAUUAUGAGCAGAAGCCAGGCCAUGUCCUCCCUAGUCAGCUGAAGGGCACUUAGGUUCACAUCUUUUCCAUUCUCCUGUGUUUCAGUUCGUCACCACCAGGCGUAAUCCUCGAGAAGGACUAUGAGGUUUACCGGGAUUAUAGCACGGAUGGCCAGCUGCUUCACUACAGGUAGACCCCUCUACCUCCCCAUAUCCAUCCACUAUCCCGAGAUGGACUCUUGGGUGGGCUGGCCUGGGGCACCUGGAGCAGAGUCUGACUCAGCAGAAAGCCGGGGCAGUGCCCGCCCUAUGGUGGCUUUGGAGGCUGCCAAAAUGGCUUGGUAGCCCCGUCUGGGAAGACUCUUGUCGCUGCCCAGAACAGAUAGCUGUGGGUCCUGGGUGCGGCCUUUGUCCCCCAUUGGAAAAGUAAAGUAUGAAGGUCCCUGGCAUGUGGUUGACGCCUGGGUCACACUGGCUACUCGUGUCAGAGUGCUUUUCAAUCCUAGUC